rnacentral:rRNA from 1 species
ACGGGGUAGGAUCACGUAGGUGACGUACCCUCAGGGCGAGGAUAGCCACGGGAAACUGUGGGUAAUACUCGAUAACCUUCUCGAUCGUGAUGGUUUGAGAAGCAAUGGGUGUGAUUCCACCUGAGGAGCGGCUUACGCAGUAUCAGCUAGUUGGUGAGGUAACGGCUCACCAAGGCUUUGACGCUUAGGGGGUGUGAGAGCAUGGCCCCCACCACUGGCACUGAGACACUGGCCAGACACCUACGGGUGGCUGCAGUCGAGAAUCUUCGGCAAUGGACGAAAGUCUGACCGAGCGACGCCGCGUGCGGGAUGAAGGUCUUCGGAUUGUAAACCGCUGUCAGAGGGGAUGAAGUAUACGAGAGCUAUCUCUUGUAUUUGACAGAGCCUCAGAGGAAGCACGGGCUAAGUUCGUGCCAGCAGCCGCGGUAAUACGAACUGUGCGAACGUUAUUCGGAAUCACUGGGCUUAAAGGGUGCGUAGGCGGUUUUCUAAGUCACGUGUGAAAUCUUCCGGCUCAACCGGAAAACUGCGCGUGAUACUGGAUAACUUGAGUGAGGUAGGGGUGUGUGGAACUUCCGGUGGAGCGGUGAA